CUGAAUUCUGCCACUAGAGGUCAGUGUCGCCAUUCACAUGGUGUUUCCAAGCCGGGUGAAGAUGGUCGUGGUUAUGUCGAAUGUGUAGGCUUUGAAUGCAUCACGGCCUCUGCGCUUGUUCAAAGUGCCCGGCCGCACUGCGCCGUCCUUGGGCCUCCUCCUUCCUGCAGCUCACUGCGUUGCAGAGGGAUGCGGCGAUCCUCCUGUGGCCCUGAACAACAGCCAGGUCGUCUCUGAACCGCUGCCUGAAAAAUACAUUUCCCACAGGAUUUGGAGAGAUACAAAGCUGAUUAAACAACAAAAGCAUAUGGGAAGAUAAAGAACACUUAGUCUUGAUCCAGAUGGGAGAAAGGGAACAAGAAAGGGAGUAAAAACUACAAAAAAAGAGUGAGAAGAAGAAGAAGAAGAGGCUUUUGGUGACAAUCUUGUGAUAGCAUCUGCAGAGUCUGGGAAACCAGCAGUAGGGAAGUGCAGCAAGAAGCAGUAAUGUCUUACUGUUGCCAUUGGACUGCUGCUUGUAAUGCAAUUCUGUGUUGUGGCUUUAAUUCUGCUGUUCUCACAGUUAAUGAAAUAAAUAGUGCAAAAAAUAUAUAUACGAUAAAUACUACUUGUAUGAAGUUUACAAUGUUUGCGUUUUGUAAUGAGUGUGGGAAUGAUGUUGAUUGAUUAAAUCUGAUAUUUGGUGUUUCUCUAAUGGAUCACACAAUAUUGUCAGGUGUUCCUGUUAUAUUGUAUAAAAAUAAUUUUACUGUGGCAAUUGUAGCAGAGUAAAUUUUAUAUUUUGAAAUCACUGGAGUUCAUUAAGACAGAAGAGAUGUGGGAGAAAGUUGCUUGUUCAUUUCCACUGAAAAAGUGUCCCUUGCAUUUUUGCAAGAUGCAUAUGCAAAAUGUUGAAGAACAUUUUGACUGACAUGG